CGAGUCUUAACUGGGCGAAUGAGUUGCAGGGUAUAGACCCGAAACCCGGUGAUCUAUCCAUGGGCAGGUUGAAGGUUGGGUAACACUAACUGGAGGACCGAACCGACUAAUGUUGAAAAAUUAGCGGAUGACUUGUGGAUGGGGGUGAAAGGCCAAUCAAACCGGGAGAUAGCUGGUUCUCCCCGAAAGCUAUUUAGGUAGCGCCUCGUGAACUCAUCUUCGGGGGUAGAGCACUGUUUCGACUAGGGGGUCAUCCCGACUUACCAACUCGAUGCAAACUGCGAAUACCGAAGAAUGUUAUCACGGGAGACACACGGCGGGUGCUAACGUCCGUCGUGAAGAGGGAAACAACCCAGACCGCCAGCUAAGGUCCCAAAGUCAUGGUUAAGUGGGAAACGAAGUGGGAAGGCUCAGACAGCCAGGAUGUUGGCUUAGAAGCAGCCAUCAUUUAAAGAAAGCGUAAUAGCUCACUGGUCGAGUCGGCCCGCGCGGAAGAUGUAACGGGGCUAAACCAUGCACCGAAGCUGCGGCAGCGACACAAAGUGUUGUUGGGUAGGGGAGCGUUCUGUAAGCCUGCGAAGGUGUACUGUGAGGUAUGCUGGAGGUAUCAGAAGUGCGAAUGCUGACAUAAGUAACGAUAAUGCGGGUGAAAAACCCGCACGCCGGAAGACCAAGGGUUCCUGUCCAACGUUAAUCGGGGCAGGGUGAGUCGACCCCUAAGGCGAGGCUGAAAAGCGUAGUCGAUGGGAAACGGGUUAAUAUUCCCGUACUGGUGGUAACUGCGAUGGGGGAACGGAGAAGGCUAGGUUGUCCGGGCGACGGUCGUCCCGGUUCAAGCAGGUAGGCAGAGUGAUUAGGCAAAUCCGGUCACUUAAUGCUGAGAUGUGAUGACGAACCACCAAGGUGGUGAAGCAAUUGAUGCCCCGCUUCCAGGAAAAGCCUCUAAGCUUCAGGUUACCAACAAUCGUACCCCAAACCGACACAGGUGGUCAGGUAGAGAAUACUCAGGCGCUUGAGAGAACUCGGGUGAAGGAACUAGGCAAAAUGGUGCCGUAACUUCGGGAGAAGGCACG
rnacentral:rRNA from 1 species